AUGCUCAUUUUGGCAGCAUAUCCACAAAAAUUUUAACCAUACAGAGAAGAUUAAUAUGGCCACUGCACAAGAAUAACACACCAAUUUAUGAAGCAUUACAUAUUAAA
ensembl:snRNA U6 U6 spliceosomal RNA